AUGUUCACCUCUUCAGGGACUGCAACGCUCAGACAAAUCUACAGGUCAAGGGAUGCAGCUUUAUAGUCCUUGCUGACAAUCCAUUUUGUCACCAAGCCCCUGACCCAGCUCAUUUGUGUAGGUGUAACGUGUUGUGCACAGGAGUUUACAGAACCACAUCUACUGAGGAUCCCAAAGUGCCUGCUGGAAUCAUGAACUUUGGGCUCUAUAGUAACAAGACUUAGGCAUAGAAAGGUUUCAGAGUCCAGAUGAGUGAAAAUCCACUGAAGCUACAAAGAAACGAGAUGCUGAAGCAUAGUCCAGUACUGAGAUGCACUGAUUUCUACAGGCUUAGGUGUUUAUCCAGAAGAUUAUUGUCAAGUCACGCUGAGGAUUUCCUGCACUGAAAAAGCCAGAUGUGUGGGCCAUACUAUUUUCUAAUAAAGUGGAUCUUUUACCAA